rnacentral:rRNA from 1 species
GACCUACGGGAGGCAGCAGUGAGGAAUAUUGGUCAGUGGGCGAGAGCCUGAACCAGCCAAGUCGCGUGAGGGAGUACUGCCCUAUGGGUUGUAAACCUCUUUUGUCGGGGAGCAAAAGCCGGACGUGUCCGGCUGUGAGAGUACCCGAAGAAAAAGCAUCGGCUAACUCCGUGCCAGCAGCCGCGGUAAUACGGAGGAUGCGAGCGUUAUCCGGAUUUAUUGGGUUUAAAGGGUGCGCAGGCGGAUUUUUAAGUCAGCGGUCAAAGCCCGGGGCUCAACCCCGGCCCGCCGUUGAAACUGGCAGU